GAUCAUGGCUCAGGAUGAACGCUAGCUACAGGCUUAACACAUGCAAGUCGAGGGGCAGCGGGAUUGAAGCUUGCUUCAAUUGCCGGCGACCGGCGCACGGGUGAGUAACGCGUAUCCAACCUUCCGUACACUCAGGGAUAGCCUUUCGAAAGAAAGAUUAAUACCUGAUGGUAUGAUGAGAUUGCAUGAUAGCAUCAUUAAAGAUUUAUCGAUGUACGAGGUGGG
rnacentral:rRNA from 1 species